AAUCAAAACCCUAACCCUAACCCUAAUCUGAAUUUUAAUCCUAAAUGGAACCGGCGAACGACGAUGACCACCGAGCUAAUGGCUCCGACCACAGUCAUUUGGCUAAGAAACCUAAGCUGUCCACCAGAUCGUCUUCUCUCAUUACGGAUUCCGAAAUACGUGAAGAGUUCGCCCAUCAUCAGACCGGGAUAGCUCGUAUCAAUAAUGGCAGCUUCGGUAGCUGUCCGGCAUCCAUCAUCGCAGCUCAGAAGCGUUGGCAGCUCCGUUUUCUACAGCAACCCGAUGACUUCUUCCUUAACCAUCUUCAGAAGCGGAUUCUACAUUCACGGACUAUUAUCAAGGAUGUUAUUAAUGCGGAGCACGUGGAUGAGGUAUCUCUUGUGGAUAACGCUACUACUGCCGCUGCUAUCGUUCUUCAACAUGUUGGAUGGGCUUUCGCGGAGGGACGGUUUAAGAAAGGAGAUGCUGUAGUCAUGCUCCAUUGUGCGUUUCAGGCUGUUAAGAAAUCGAUUGAAGCUUAUGUCACCCGGGCUGGUGGUUCUGUGAUCGUUGUUCAUUUGCCCUUUCCUCUUCGUUCGGAGGAAGAGAUUGUUGCGGAGUUUCGGAAAGCCUUGGCUAAGGGGAAAGCGAAUGGAAAGAAGGUUCGGUUGGCUAUCAUUGAUCACAUUACAUCAAUGCCGUGUGUUGUCAUACCUGUGCGUGAUUUGGUUAAGAUUUGUAGGGAAGAAGGUGUUGAACGAGUAUUUGU
rnacentral:misc_RNA from 1 species